CGGACGGGUGAGUAACGCGUGAGAAUCUACCUUCAGGACGGAGAUAACCGCUGGAAACGGCGGCUAAUCCCCGAUGAGCCUACGGGUGAAAGCGUUAACGCCUGAAGAGGAGCUCGCGGCUGAUUAGCUAGUUGGUGGGGUAAGAGCCUACCAAGGCAACGAUCAGUAGCUGGUCUGAGAGGAUGGUCAGCCACACUGGGACUGAGACACGGCCCAGACUCCUACGGGAGGCAGCAGUGGGGAAUCUUCCGCAAUGGGCGCAAGCCUGACGGAGCUAUACCGCGUGAGGGAAGAAGGCUCUUGGGUCGUAAACCUCUUUUCUUGGGGAAGAAAGCUGACGGUACCCAAGGAAAAAGCCUCGGCCAACUCCGUGCCAGCAGCCGCGGUAAUACGGAGGAGGCAAGCGUUAUCCGGAAUUAUUGGGCGUAAAGCGUCCGCAGGUGGCCUCUCAAGUCUGCGGUGAAAGAGCGGGGCUUAACCCCGGAGGAGCUGUGGAAACUGAGAAGCUAGAGUGCGGCAGGGGUAGAGGGAAUUCCCAGUGUAGCGGUGAAAUGCGUAGAGAUUGGGAAGAACAUCGGUGGCGAAAGCGCUCUACUGGACCGCAACUGACACUCAGGGACGAAAGCUAGGGGAGCGAAAGGGAUUAGAUACCCCUGUAGUCA
rnacentral:rRNA from 1 species